AUACGGAGGGGGCUAGCGGUGUUCGGAAUUACUGGGCGUAAAGCGCGCGUAGGCGGGCUGGUGAGUUGGGGGUGAAAUCCCAGGGCUCAACCCUGGAACUGCCCUCAAUACUGCCAGUCUUGAGUUCGAGAGAGGUAAGCGGAAUUCCUAGUGUAGAGGUGAAAUUCGUAGAUAUUAGGAAGAACACCAGUGGCGAAGGCGGCUUACUGGCUCGAUACUGACGCUGAGGCGCGAAAGCGUGGGGAGCAAACAGGAUUAGAAACCCGGGUAGUCC
rnacentral:rRNA from 1 species